AGGGCCAUCCAGAUCUGAACCAAUCUCCCUUUCUCAAACAUAUAAUCUUUGGGGAAGACUGAACAAAAUGCAAAACAUUGCUUCAGUAUGGCAGGCAAAUGACUGUAACUCAAUCUGAGAGCUGGCAGUAUAUUGUUCUUAUCUGAUGGUAGCUCCCAUAUUUCACUCUUUAAUAUGUUUUUCCAAUCACCCUCUGUGUCCUUGGUACAUAAUAAACUGCCUAUUGCUUUUGCAGCUAGUGGCAGGCCUUUCAACUUCUUCACAAUGCCCUUGCCUAUUAUUUCCAAUUCUGGGUGUGCACUGGCGUCACCGUCAACAAAUGCAUGGUUCUUGAACAACUGCCAGCAAUCAUUGUCUGAUAACUGCUUU
rnacentral:lncRNA from 1 species